rnacentral:rRNA from 1 species
GUGACCCCAGGAUGGGCGAGGCCACCCGCCGAGUUUAAGCAU